UGUGUGCUGCUGGUGACAGCUUUUCCUGGUGCCUGAGAACCCAGACUUUCUCAUUGUGAAGGGCCAUUACAUAAGAACUGCUUCAGUCACUGUCAGCAUGAACUCUAUUUGGAUUAUUCUAACUGAAAGCAGGGAAACCUGCCCAUCAGGCAGAUGAGAUGAUCUCGUSCCCGGACAAGAGCUGAGGAGGCAGACGUGCACCUCCUUCAGCGGGAAUACUUCUGAAGAGGCAAUGGAAUGCCAAACGAUUGCAAUAAAUUGCACACCAGUAUAUCUUUACAUAGA